AACAAAAUUUGUGAUGCUUAAGGGGGGCUAUUGUUCGGCGGUUUAUAGGAGCCAGAUUUGUCUUUUGGGCAGAUCUCCAACCUAUUCUUACUUCCAAAACCGUUGCGAUGGCUUUCCAUUAGAUUUUCCUUUCUUUUCCUCGGUUUAGUUUAUUUUAUAUAAGUUACUUCGAGGAAGGAAAAGAAAAAGGAUAACGAGUGUCGUAGAUAAAUCUUCGGUUCCGAAUAGUCUGACUAUUGGUAUUGAGGUAAUCCAUCUUUAAAACCAUUGCCGUUAGAGGUUGCUUCCGGUUAUAUCCGGUUAAGCGACCCAUGAAAUGGUGAUGACCUGAGGUAUGGAACAUCU
rnacentral:snoRNA from 19 species